rnacentral:lncRNA from 1 species
UGUUGGGGACAUAAGAGACUCUUUGUUAUUUGAUUGCAGGGUUGCUUGAGAGAAAUCAUCUUCAUCCUACGCCUCCCACGGAUUGAUAAACCUUAGGUCAUCCACUUAAGGAAAAUUUGCUACUGUCCUACAAACCUGUGCACUUAGAGGCCCAACAACGUCUACAAGAAGAAGGUUGUGUAGUAGACAUCACUGUCUCCGUUAACCUUGAGCUCAACCAGGCCAUACAACACCAACUUGUCGAGAAGUCUUCGGUGAUUUGAAAAGGCUGCAUUUAACAUAUUAUCUUAACCGGAAACAGGGCAAAAUCCAAGAAUACCAUAAAGAGCAAACAGUUAGCAUGUGGAUCAUCACAUUUCAAGUAGAAGCACUACAGGUGAAAUCAACUGCUCAGAUUAGAUAUACAAGCACACUGCCUAUGUGCCCUUGAACUCUCCAAUACGAGAUCAUCAAUCCAUGCUAAACUACAGCAUGCUUGGGAUGAUGUACAUAGCAGUCACACCAAGUGUAGAUGCACGACGCACAAACAAUAAAAAUAUACUUGAGAAGCCAAAAUCAUAAGAGGCAUGGUUUAAUGCAUAUAUUAAGAAAUAAAAGGUAAAAAGGAUAAAUUUGCCCCUAGAGUUUGUUCGUUCAUGGUGGAUAAACAUACAUAAAUGAAUCUACACAAUCCAAUUCAACAACACAGUUCAGUGCUAUGAUGAUAAGAGCAAUGGCAUGCUAGACUUAGUUUAUUGACGCUGCUCCCACCCACAUUCAGUUUAGCGAGCAAUGGCAUGUCAGACAAGCGUAAACAAAACACACUGGAUGUUACAUAAAUGACGAGGGCAAAGGAUAGAUGGUCAACCAGGUGAAGAAGGCACUGAAUAGUUCCAUUAAGAUGAUAGUGUGUGCAUUUUGAAUUGGCUGCAAUUUUUGUGGGCAAAUAAAAACAGAGGAAUUAUAAUUUCUGAAUUUUGAAUUGAAGGAGGAGGUGAGAAUCUGAAGUGGCCUAGAAAGAUUCUGAGAUUUUGACUGGUGCCUUACGUCUGCGUAGUGACUGUCUAGUUCCCUGCUUUGAUUUGUUCUUCCUUUUAUUUUUAUUAGAUUUUCUCCUAGCCUCUUUUGUAGAUCUGAACAGUUUCCUGCUUAAUACUCUUCUGCUGCGUUAUGUAUGUAAAAAAACAUGGUUUCCUUAAAUGGUAGACAAGAAGAUAAGAACUGAAGAAAAUGGUACGACAGACAUUCCCCUAGGAUUAAAGCUUUGACCAAAUUCUCAAUCUUAAACUCGGUCAUCUGAAAAUUCACUGUAAACUAAUCCGACAGAAAACUUCUCCUGGAUCUGUUGCUACAUACAGACAGAGGUCAAUACCCAACCCAAUCAUCCAGGACCUAAUCAACGCAGCACCUGAAACAAAUCCAACUAGGCUUAGGGGGAGGCCGUUAAGCCAUGAGACCUGAACACCAGGAACUAGAUAUCUACUAGGCCAUGUCCGAGCAUGAAUCCUGCAUACCAUUGGCCCCAAGCACGAAACAACACGCAAAGCACCCAACAGAACGCGGGAGCAGCAAGCAAUCGACGAUUGAGGUGAGGGGGUCGAGCACGUACACACGAAGGAGGUGGGGAGCGAGCCCCGGACGGAUCACGGAUGAUCCCCGCUCGCAGGAAAGAAAGCCAACGGCGGCGGCAGAGGAGAGGGGAGGAGGAAAGCCAGCGGCGACGACGGAUCACUCACCAAGCACCGUCCUAACCCUCCUCCGCUGCUCCGGCGCCACGGCCACGCGCACAUGGCUACGGCGGGAGCCGCAGGGGAGCGGCGAGGAGGCGAGG